GACUCGGUGGUGAAACGGUUAUCGCAUCUGCCCAAUAUCGUCAUAAGGACGCACAAUGCGUGUUGGCAGGAGGAUCCCAGUUCGAAUCUGGGCCGAGUCG